AUCUUAUCCUUAAAGGUAAAUCCAAUGUACCAUACUUUAUAUUAUUGAUCUAACAUAGCUUGCUCGUUAUGUUUGAACAUUUCGUACUCAGAAUAAACAUUUCUCAGAUCUAACCUUUCUUCUUUUUAUCUGUUUUGCAUGUUGGAUCGGAUUACUUUCUUUCUUAUUCCAAUGAGAUGGAAACUUCUUGCGAUAACUUCAAAGUAAAUAAUUUCAUCUUCAAAUUUUAUUGGGUACAAAUUCAUCUGGACCCAAAUAUACGAAAGGUCUGCCAAUAGGAGUCCACAAACAUCUCUACAAAUGAAGAGUGACUAUAUUAAUAAACAUUGAUAAAGGAAUUACAGAUUAUGUCAUCCAGUCUAUGGACUACAACCAUUCAGCUGGAAGUUAAGUGUUUUACUAAAUACCA